rnacentral:rRNA from 1 species
GACGUAGGGAGCGAGCGUUGUCCGGAUUCAUUGGGCGUAAAGGGUCCGUAGGCGGCUCAGCAAGUCGGGUGUGAAAUCUCCAGGCUCAACCUGGAGGGGCCACUCGAUACUGCUGUGGCUUGAGUCCAGUAGGGGAGCAUGGAAUUCCCGGUGUAGCGGUGAAAUGCGCAGAUAUCGGGAGGAACACCAGUGGCGAAGGCGGUGCUCUGGGCUGGAACUGACGCUGAUGGACGAAAGCGUGGGUAGCAAACAGGAUUGAGAA